rnacentral:rRNA from 1 species
GGCUUAGCAGUGAGGAAUAUUGCCCAAUGGGGGAAACCCUGAUGCAGCAACGCCGCGUGGAGGAUGACGCAUUUCGGUGUGUAAACUCCUUUUAUGAGUCAAGAAAAUGACGGUAGCUCAUGAAUAAGCACCGGCUAACUCCGUGCCAGCAGCCGCGGUAAUACGGAGGGUGCAAGCGUUACUCGGAAUCACUGGGCGUAAAGGACGCGUAGGCGGGCUUGUAAGUCAGAUGUGAAAUCCUAUGGCUCAACCAUAGAACUGCAUUUGAAACUACGAGCCUAGAGUAUGGGAGGGGGAGAUGGAAUUAGUGGUGUAGGGGUAAAAUCCGUAGAUAUCACUAGGAAUACCGAAAGCGAAGGCGAUCUCCUGGAACAUUACUGACGCUAAGGCGUGAAAGCGUGGGGAGCAAACGGGAUUAGAUACCCCGGUAGUCCACGCCCUAAACGAUGUUCACUAGUCGUCGGGAUGCUUGUCAUCUCGGUGAUGCACUUAACAGAUUAAGUGAACCGCCUGGGGAGUACGGUCGCAAGAUUAAAACUCAAAGGAAUAGACGGGGACCCGCACAAGUGGUGGAGCAUGUGGUUUAAUUCGAAGAUACGCGAAGAACCUUACCUGGCCUUGACAUUGAUUGAACACACUAGAGAUAGAGUGGUGCCCUUCGGGGAACAUGAAAACAGGUGCUGCACGGCUGUCGUCAGCUCGUGUCGUGAGAUGUUGGGUUAAGUCCCGCAACGAGCGCAACCCUCGUCCUUAGUUGCCAGCAGGUUAAGCUGGGCACUCUAAGGAGACUGCCUUCGCAAGGAGGAGGAAGGUGAGGACGACGUCAAGUCAUCAUGGCCCUUACGGCCAGGGCUACACACGUGCUACAAUGGGGCGUACAGAGUGUUGCGAUACCGCGAGGUGGAGCCAAUCACUUAAAGCGUCUCUCAGUUCGGAUUGGAGUCUGCAACUCGACUCCAUGAAGCUGGAAUCACUAGUAAUCGUAGAUCAGCAGUGCUACGGUGAAUACGUUCCCGGGUCUUGUACACACCGCCCGUC